UAUGUAGCUUUAUCAGUUAGCCUACCGUAAGAGCGACAGAUAGGAGACUUUGAAACGAUAUUAUGAAAUUAUGAAACGAUUAUAUGUUAGCGGUGCAUCAAAAAGACGGAAGAAAGAGGAAAACAAAACUUUUAUUGCCACCCUCCCAAAGGCCAUGAAGAAAGCACUAUGGACUAUCAUCACGAACGAGAGAGAAAGAGAUAGAAAUAAGCACCACCAGAACGAGGACAUUUAAAGAGGGAGAAAAAUCUACAAGAAAUCCAGAAAGGGGCAGCAAUGCAAGUGUCUUGGAAACCGGCAUUUCCAGUCAAGCAUAACGGAAGAAGGAAGCGUCUCCCACUGGUUCAUACCACAUCAAAGAGGACGUUUUGGUCCGUCUGACCAGCUGUCAUUCCCCACAUAUCUGACCUGGUUGUCCAGUCUGUUUUUCCACUGUUUCACGUUCCUGGACAGUAUGACCAGCUCUGGACAGACAGACAGACACACAGACACACAGAGAGCGAGAGAGAGAGAGAGACUUUGAUAGGUCUACAACGGUGCCUAUAGGUUCAACAAAGAUAUCACUUUCUCCUUUUUGGACCUUCACACCAGUGGACUAUGAAGUUUAAUAGAGCAUGCACACUGACGCCAACUAGAAACACACACACACACCUCCUCCUCUUGUCUCUUGGACUGUCCUAAUUGGCACUGUAGCAGUGGGGUUCAAAUGGACACCCAGCACAUUGAGCUCCUUCCCCAUCUCUGUUGUCUUUGGCCCACCCCCUGAGCAGGGAGUCCAGGAAAAAAGGAAGAAAAAAAAGAACAAAUAAAAUCUAACCCUGGAAGGAAAAUAGAAAUCCACCGAAAAGUCACAUCGAGAUCAUCUUGGAGGAAGAAAGAAAAAGCUUUUCAUUCUGCCCUCCUCCACUCUAACUAAGGAAAACACAAUGAAAAUCGAAUGAAAGAAUAUAUUGCAUAUCAUAACUGGGGAAGCAUAGAAAACCCCUACUGUGCUAGAGUAACCAUAUUAAAGCAUUGAAAAUAAAGGUCAUGGUCUGUAGACCUUAUUGGGAAAAAAAAAUCCCACAAGGUUCUCUGCUUGUUGUGUAUCUAUAUUAUUCAGCAAAUAUUACUGGCUGACAGUUGACCUUAUCUAAGCAGCAGAAAUAUGAGCAGGAGGGUACUUGAUCGAAAGC